rnacentral:rRNA from 1 species
GCUGGGAACUAAGCAUAUCAAUAAGCGGAGGAAAAGAAACCAACAGGGAUUGCCCCAGUAACGGCGAGUGAAGCGGCAACAGCUCAAAUUUGAAAUCGGGCAACCGUCCGAGUUGUAAUUUGCAGAGGAUGCUUCGGAGGAGAGGCCGGUCCAAGUUCCCUGGAACGGGACGUCAGAGAGGGUGAGAAUCCCGUCCAUGGCCGCGCCGACCCUCGUACGUAGCUCCUUCGACGAGUCGAGUUGUUUGGGAAUGCAGCUCUAAAUGGGAGGUAAAUUUCUUCUAAAGCUAAAUACCGGCCAGAGACCGAUAGCGCACAAGUAGAGUGAUCGAAAGAUGAAAAGCACUUUGAAAAGAGAGUCAAACAGCACGUGAAAUUGUUGAAAGGGAAGCGCCUACGAUCAGACUCGCCGGCGACGUUCCACCGGUCCUCGUGACCGGUUCAUUCGUCGUCGGCGGGCCAGCAUCGUCUGAGACCGCCGGACAAACCCGGAGGAAUGUGGCUCCCUCGGGAGUGUUAUAGCCUCCGGUCAUGCGGCGCGUCUCGGGCGAGGUCCGCACUUCGGUAAGGAUGCUGGCGUAAUGGUCGUCGGCGGCCCGUCUUGAAACACGGACCAAGGAGUCCAACAUCUGUGCGAGUGUUCGGGUGUCAAACCCAUACGCGUAAUGAAAGUGAACGGAGGUGGGAACUUCGGUGCACCAUCGACCGAUCCUGAUGUCCUCGGAUGGAUUUGAGUAAGAGCACAGCUGUUGGGACCCGAAAGAUGGUGAACUAUGCCUGGAUAGGGUGAAGCCAGAGGAAACUCUGGUGGAGGCUCGCAGCGGUUCUGACGUGCAAAUCGAUCGUCAAAUUUGGGUAUAGGGGCGAAAGACUAAUCGAACCAUCUAGUAGCUGGUUCCUGCCGAAGUUCCCCCUCAGGAAA